GACUUUCCCAAACCAAACACAGCGAAACGCUCUCCUUGCUUUUUACCUUCCUUUUACCCCCCUCUCGUCUGCCGCACCAACACGGGAAGAGAAAGUAGCCGGACCUAGGUCUCGUCGUGGAAGAAGACGCCGAUCCUUGCCCACCGGUUGCCUCACCGAAAUCUGGUCCUUAACCAUCGGUCGCUCCGCCGUACAGACCACCUUCUCUUUUCCUUUCAGCCUCACCUCCUUCAUAUAGGAGAUACGAUCAGACAUUGAAUCUCUUUUAUUUUCUUUGCAACAGAAAGGAAAGGAAAGGAAAAGAUCAAGAGGAGAGAACAGGAGUUAGCCUGGAGUGAGAUUCAAUGCAACUAAUUCUCUUGCAAACAAUUACAAACUAACCAAACAAGAAGAGCAAAAACAGAAACACUAGACUUAAACUACACUAAAACCCAGAACUUCCUUCGCUGAUUGACUCCAGGAACCAAGAAAAUGAGCGUUGAAUCCUUCAACAGGUUGGUGAAGCUUGCGGCGAGGGCGUUCUACGAUGACAUAACGACGAAAGGGGAUAAUCAACCCAAAACGGGUCGCAGUGACAACAGAGGCAUCGCCGUGGUGGUGCUCGACGCGCUCACUAGACGACAAUGGGUGAAAGAAGAAGAUUUGGCCAAGGCCUUAAAAUUGCACUCGAAGCAGCUUCGUCGUACUCUGCGAUUCUUCGAGGAAGAAAAACUAGUUACUCGAGAUCAUAGGAGAGAGACAGCUAAGGGUGCGAAGAUAUUUAGUGCUGCCGUCGCUGCCACAGUUGAUGGUCAACAGACGACAAAAGAAGGGGAGGAAAAGAUUAAGCUGCACACUCACUCUUACUGUUGUCUAGAUUAUGCCCAGAUAUAUGAUGUGGUUAGGUAUAGAUUGCACCGCAUGAAGAAAAAAUUGAAAGAUGAAUUGGACAACAAGAAUACGGUUCAAGAGUAUAUAUGCCCCAACUGUGGGAAAAGGUACACUGCAUUGGAUGCAUUGCGGUUGGUCUCUAUGGAUGAUGACUAUUUUCAUUGUGAAAGUUGUAAUGGGGAACUGGUGGCUGAGAGCGACAAGUUAGCUUCUCAAGAAGGAGGAGAUGGAGAUGACAAUGCAAGGAGGCGAAGGCGUGAAAAGUUAAAGGACAUGCUUCAAAAAAUGGAGGUACAGCUUAAGCCUUUAAUGGACCAACUCAGUAGAGUAAAAGACUUGCCUGUUCCCGAAUUUGGUAGUCUUCAAGCAUGGGAAGUUCGAGCAAGUGCUGCUGGUCGUGCAGCAAAUGGUGAUUCCAGUACCGAUCCUUCCAGAUCUUCUCAUGGGCUGGGGUAUGGUGGAACAACGUUGCCUUUUGUUGGAGACACCAAGGUUGAAGUUGACUUUUCUGGGGCUGAAGGCAAGGGAGAGGAUAUUAAAUCUGAAAAUGAGAAUACAUCUUUGAAAGUUUUGCCACCAUGGAUGAUCAAGGAAGGAAUGAACCUUACGAAGGAACAGCGGGGAGAGGUCAAGCAGGAGUCAAGGAUGGAUGGCAGUUCAGCAGCUGUUGAAUUUUCAGAUGACAAAAAGUCAACAGUCGAGACUGAUGAUAAGAAGAAUAUACAGGAUGAGUAUGUCAAAGCUUACUAUGCUGCUUUAAUCAAGAAACAACAAGAACUAGAUGAAGCUGCCAAGAAACAAGAUGAAUUAUCAAACACGCAUGCCUUAAAUGGCAUCUCGGGAAUGACUUCUAAUCGCCAAGUUGGAAUGAAGUCAAAACGUGAUGAGGACGAUGGAGAUGAUGAUGUGGAAUGGGAAGAGGCUCCAGUUGCAGGCAGUGCAAGUGAAAAUUACAAAGUUGACUUGAAUGUCCAAGUUGAUGCUUCUGGAGAUGAUGAGGAUGAUAUAGACUGGGAGGAAGGUUGAAGAGUUCUUCCCUUAUAGAUGGAUUGUCACGACUUUAUUUUACCUGUGAGGUAUCCAGGAUCCAAGGCCCUGCCAUGGGAAAGAGUGUUUUUGCUUGCACACAUGGUUUAUUAUUCAGCUAAAAUCUCCAGCUAAAAUGAUAGAAUUUCCAGAUUGGGAACAUGUCCAGCUAAAAUCUCAACUCCGUCAGAGCUGACUCUAGCGUUGCUGAGAUUUAGAUGGUACACUUACUCGUGUUUAGGAAUUCAAGAGAUGACAAAUUUGGUAACUAUGUGAUGUUGGGUCCAAGCUAUAUUAAGUGGUGGAGGAAUGGUGUGAGUAAUUCUAGAA